AUUGGUGUGGCAGACCCCGGUAUUGCAAAAGACCUAAGCCCUUUGUAUGGGAGUUCAAAUCCCCCCUCCAAAA
rnacentral:tRNA from 1 species